rnacentral:lncRNA from 1 species
ACUUUAGACCUCGUGUUUUUAUUAACGAGAUAAGUUCCCAGGUGGAUACUUGAACUUUUUCUUUUAUAUUGUUUAUUUAGUUUGAUGCUUAUUUUUAGAUAUGAACUUUCUUUAGUUGCCUUGAUUUUGUUUGAUGAUUUGAUUGAAUGGCUUCUUACCUUGUGCGGCUCGUGUUUUGCCGGGGUUGAAUCGUCAAUUUCAUAUCUCUUUGAUGUUCAUAUUCCUAUUGUGAUUUAUGAAUGCUCUUUUCUAGAUUAAGUCCACGGAUCUGAUCACUUGUUCAAAUCCAAAUACUUAAUCCAAGACUUCGGGGUUGAACAAUAAUAUUAUGAACAAAUAUGAUACGAGUCACAAAAGCCCAAAUUCUUGAAGGCGAGGUCCAAUAAGCAAAUUCCCAGCCCAAUCAAGAAAUCCAUCCAUACUUAGUUGAAAAUCAGGCCAAAUUGUCAAAGUGGCCCAAGUUGUAAAGUUUUAUUUUUAUUUUUAUUUUUAUUUAUUUAUUUACUUAGUUUAAAUUUUUAUGUCAAUAUUCAGUCCAAGAGUCCCAGAUAAAAUGACCUUUGACCAAAUUUCCAUAUUAAAAUAAUUAGGAGUUUUUUUUAUUUUAGUUUUCUAAUUAGAUUAGGACUAGUUAUAAGGCCUAUUUAAAGGCAUGGCUGUCCACCUUGUUAAACACUUAUCAUUAUUAUUAAAAUUUCAGAUUUGUUGAGAGCAGAAUUUUCUUUGAGUUUUCUCCAAGAUUUCUCUCUUGAGUUUUCUUUAGAAGUUGUUUUAACAAUCUUGUGAUUGUGGGAGUCAUCUUCAACCUUCUUCUUGCCAUUGAUAUUCUUUGGAGGGGAGAUUAGAGCCGUUUGAAGGGAGUUGUGAGAUCUUUCGAGAUUUCAAGGCUUCUUAGGACUUAUCUUUUAAUUUCUUACUGUCAAUUCUUUCUUUAUUUCUACUUGUGCUGAAUCAUUAUCUAAUCUAUUUUCUGUUCUUAUUGUGUUUUCAGCCUUUUUCUAUCUUAAGGAAUCAGCCCAAAAAUCCCCAAUUUCUAGGGUUUUUCCAUACUCUUUUUGGGUGAAAUUAGAUUGUCGAAAUUUGGGGAAAACUAUCUUGGUGUUCAAUUGGGCAGAAUCACAAUCUCCUUGAGGGUUUCAAGAACCCUAACACUUAUUUCUAUUCUCAAUUUGAUUCUUUGCUGAUUUGGGGAUUUUAUUUCAGAUCUGAAAAUUCAAAAAUCUAAUCUUUUAAUUUUCUGUUUCGUUUCAGAUCUAAUUGUUUAGGGUUUUCGUAGGAGUUUCCCGUGACUUGGCAACUCGAUCUUGGUCCGCGCGCAACCCCGUAUCAUUUGGUAUCAGAUUUUGGGCGUUUUGGGUGUUCUUGGUUGAUUUCUAAACUGAUCUCUAUUUUUUAAAGCAUAAACAGUAGUUUUACCCAGAAAAAUUGUUCAAAAAAAAUUCAUUUGAGUGGGUAAACGUUGUCCGAUUGAUCUGAAAUUUUACAUACAUGUUUUUGGCACUGUGAUUGAAUAUAAAAAAAUUAUUCCCGCAAAAAAUCAGUCAAAAAGUCAAAAAAAUCAAAAAAGACAAAAUUCAAUAAAAAUUUUAAAAAAAGAUUCAGCGGGUUGAAUUUGGUGCCCAAAAUUUUCAGAUCAAAAAUUCAAUAUAUAAGGACACUCCAGAUUUAAUUUCGUGAUUUUUGGAGAUCGGGAACACCUCGAACGAAGUUGUCAAGUUACUCCGCAGUUUUUCGAGUUUUCUGUUUUCAGCAAUUUUUAUUGAUUCUUAGCUGUAUGUUUUCAUUUGUUUACCUUUAUUCUUCCUUUACGUUAUCUAACACCUUCUUGGUUCUUGUGUUAGUAGGAUUUAAACGUGUGCACAACUUCUUCCUCGGUGCAACACGAAUCAAUUGGUGUCUCGUCAGUUUUUGGCAUCCUAGUGCAAAUUAGGAUUCUUUGGUAGUUUGGUUCACACUCUCUAAUUGGUUGAUAUAAACUCUGAUAAAGAACUCACAAGAUUGAAUUCGACCUCAUUAAGAAUUUGAUUUUUUCUUUUUGAGUGAUUAACGGUGAGGUUUGAUAACUUUUAUUUUUGAGUGUUGAGUGUUUUGCAGGUUUUAAAAAAAAUGUCUACAGGUGAUAAUAAUAGUGACAUAUUUAAAAAAUUCCAACAACAGUUGGAUGAACAGGCUGCUGCUCUUCGAGCUUUGACUGCUACCAUCAAUGAGGUGCAAUUGAAUCAAGAACCUCAAUAUCGAGAUCCAAUCAAAGAAGAUAGGGAUAACCAACCCCAGAGGCGCGGCCCUCGACGUGUCCUUAGAAUGGAUGAUGAUUUUCAUGAUCGUGGACAAUCCUCUUUGGCAAAACCAAAGAGCGAGCAGCAACGAGAACAUCUCUUUCAUACUCGCUGCCAUGUACAAGGUAAGCUUUAUAGAGUUAUUAUUGAUGGUGAAAGUUGCUCGAACAUAGCCAGCACGACGAUGGUGGAAAAGUUUUGCUUAACCACUACCAAGCAUCCACAACCUUAUCCACUACAAGGGCUUAGCAACGAAGGCCAAUUUAGGGUCACUCAACAAGUGCGCAUUGCCUUUUCUAUCGGUAAGUAUCAAGACGAAGUUGUGUGCGACGUAAUGCCUAUUCAAGCCUGCCAUUUGUUGCUAGGAGAACCAUGGCAACUGGAUCGAAAAGUCACUCACGAUGGUCGUACCAAUAGGUAUUCUUUCAAGCAUCAAGGAAAGAAACUCACCUUAGUGCCGCUCACUCCGGAACAAGUCCAUGAGGACCAAAUCAAACUGAGAAAUUCUGUUAAAACAAGUGAGGAAAAAGAAAAAGAGAAUGAAAAAGAGCAAAAAGAGAUUGAGAGUGAAAAGGAAUGUGAAACAGAAAAGAAAAUUGAAAAAGAAGUUGAAGAAAGAAGAGAAAAUGAAUUAGAAAAAGAAACAAAAGAAAAAGACGUGGAAAGGGUAGUGAGGAAUGUUUCCACUAACCAAGAUAUGAAUUUUUCUUGUGUUGUUACUUUUCAGGUUCCCGAAAGAUCGAAAGAUAACUUUCAACUUCAAUACCUCUCAAAUGAAAGACGCUUUCAUACGAUCAACUUAAGCAAAGAUGAAAUCACACUACAUGAUCCCGAAGGUAAGCGAGGUAAGGAAAUUUUAAAAACCGAGUCCAGUGCAGAUCUGAAAAUUAUUGAUAAAACUUUUGGUGACUUAGUUCUUAAAAGAUCCCCUCAUUUUGAUCCGAUUAAUUGUUACUCUUUGAUUGUGGUUGAUAAAGUCAUUACGAAAAGAAGCGUGAUUUGUUAUUCUCUUGAUUUACCUUGUGUAAAAUCCUUGAAUUUUUCCAAAUCUGUUUUGGAGAAUAAGGUAACGAAAUUUUCCAAAUUUGUUUUCAAUUUAUAUUCGUGCCUUAAACAGUUUAUGUGGUUGUACAUGAAGUUUGAGUUCCAUUUGACAAACGUUAACUCAACAACGAAGAUUCGACUACACUAUGCCCCCGAUGAGCGAAGGUUUGUUUUAAAUGAAAAAGGUAAAAUCGACCCUUAUUCUUCUGCUUAUCGAGGUAAGAUGCUUGAAACCUUUGAAACACUUUUGUACUCCUCGGAUAGUGAUAAAGAUCGUGUUGAUGAACACUUAGAUCGAAACGUGCUUGACUGUCCUAUUUUAUUUAUUGAUGAUCUAUCUGUUUUGAUGGUUGAUAAAAAGAUUCUUGUUUUUGAUAAUGCAUGUGUGAGUGAAUCUAUAGACCGUCGAUUAAUGCAUGGUAUGAUUAUGCAACUCUAUGAACCAUGUGAAUCUUUUCAAAUACCUACUUGUGACGAUUAUGUUUACCAUUUGAUUUAUUACUCGCAAUUUAUUCAUGGUUUGUGGGAACAAUGUGAGACGACUGAAUGCCUUAAAACAUGUUCAUCUUUGUUUCAAAUAUUUGACGAGGCAGUGGUGAGUAAAUUAGAUUGUUUGCAUGGUAAUCUGAAUCUGUCCAUUCACAUGCGUUAUACCUGUUCUAUUAUGCUUAUGAUUGGACUACAAGCUUAUUUCCGUUGCUAUUUACUAUCUCAUGGCUAUUCUUCUCAGUGGACUCAAUUGCCAUUAGUCCCGUUCGAUAGAGGAAAGUCGAGUUCAUUUGAUUUUUCAGAUUCGAGGACGAAUCUUUUUGAGGAAGGGGGGAAUGAUACGAGUCACAAAAGCCCAAAUUCUUGAAGGCGAGGCCCAAUAAGCAAAUUCCCAGCCCAAUCAAGAAAUCCAUCCAUAAUUAGUUGAAAAUCAGGCCAAAUUGUCAAAGUGGCCCAAGUUGUAAAGUUUUAUUUUUAUUUUUAUUUAUUUAUUUACUUAGUUUAAAUUUUUAUGUCAAUAUUCAGUCCAAGAGUCCCAGAUAAAAUGACCUUUGACCAAAUUUCCAUAUUAAAAUAAUUAGGAGUUCUUUUUAUUUUAGUUUUCUAAUUAGAUUAGGACUAGUUAUAAGGCCUAUUUAAAGGCAUGGCUGUCCACCUUGUUAAACACUUAUCAUUAUUAUUAAAAUUUCAGAUUUGUUGAGAGCAGAAUUUUCUUUGAGUUUUCUCCAAGAUUUCUUUAUUGAGUUUUCUUUAGAAGUUGUUUUAAUAAUCUUGUGAUUGUGGGAGCCAUCUUCAACCUUCUUCUUGCCAUUGAUAUUCUUUGGAGGGGAGAUUAGAGCCGUUUGAAGGGAGUUGUGAGAUCUUUCGAGAUUUCAAGGCUUCUUAGGACUUAUCUUUUAAUUUCUUACUGUCAAUUCUUUCUUUAUUUCUACUUGUGCUGAAUCAUUAUCUAAUCUAUUUUCUGUUCUUAUUGUGUUUUCAGCCUUUUUCUAUCUUAAGGAAUCAGCCCAAAAAUCCCCAAUUUCUAGGGUUUUUCCAUACUCUUUUUGGGUGAAAUUAGAUUGUCGAAAUUUGGGGAAAACUAUCUUGGUGUUCAAUUGGGCAGAAUCACAAUCUCCUUGAGGGUUUCAAGAACCCUAACACUUAUUUCUAUUCUCAAUUUGAUUCUUUGCUGAUUUGGGGAUUUUAUUUCAGAUCUGAAAAUUCAAAAAUCUAAUCUUUUAAUUUUCUGUUUCGUUUCAGAUCUAAUUGUUUAGGGUUUUCGUAGGAGUUUUUCGUGACUUGGCAACUCGAUCUUGGUCCGCGCGCAACCCCGUAUCAAAAUAUUUGAUAUAUUGCUAGUGAAAUUUAAAAAUUCCACAAGUAGAGUUGAGGUGAUGACAUGUAUAAGGUAUAGUAAAAAUUAAAAGGAAAUAAUAUUAGCAUGAUCAGACAACUGAAAUAACUAAGAGAGGAUGAAUUGACCUUUAAAAAUAUGCGGAAAUAAAAGAACAAAGUAAUAAACAAUGAAUACAAGAAUUUAGAUGGUUCGGCCGCAAUUCCUUACUCCACCAUCUUAACUUUCCAUAAAAUAAAACAAUGAACACUCGAUGUCCCGAUGUAGUCUGGGGGAUUCUGGUGAUCUAGCGGACUGGGUCUAACAUCCCCACCUACAAUUAUAUAUAAACUUUUAUUUCUAUAUAAAUAAUUAAUCUAUUCCAUAUUACAGUUUCAACAUUAAAAAUCAUUUUAAGUUAUCCAUAUUUAAAACAUAAUAAUAAAUAAUAAAUAAAUAAUAAUAUUUUUCACCAUUUAUAUUUUAAAAAUAUAAUAUGGUGGGUUUGACAGGUUUAGGCUACUUGUUUACAAAUAUUAACUAGUCUGAACAGAAUAAGAC